UUUCGUGUCAGUGUGGUUGGGGUUUUUACAAGUGCAGUUUUCCUGCACGGAAGCGAACAAAGCAACACCCACUGUCCACCCAUGGGUCGGUUGUCCUGGAAAAGUAUUUAGUUGGAAAAUGUUUGUUGCUUAUCAGGCAGGCUUCGAGAUGCAGAGUUUUGAUACAGAUUCUUCCUGGAAGUAAUGGCAUGUAUGUGAAUCGUUUGCUGAAACUCUCGAAGAAUAAAACUCGUAAGAAGAAGCCCAUUUUCCUACAACAUGCACGAGAAACAUGCCGAACCAUUUCGCAACGAGCUUAACCGAUCCGGUGGAACAGACACAACGGUGAAGUAGGCAAUGAAACAGAGGCAAACAUUAAAUUCCUUCACGCAACUGUGGCAGCAGAAGUGGAAAACAAGUCGUAUUAAAAGGAUUGAACAAAUUAAUGGUUGAUACUACACAACUCGUUUCGGUUGUUUUUGGGGAUGAGGUCACAAGAAACUGGAGAGUGUAAUGAGUGCCCGAGCGGCAUUUCAUCCCGGCAGGCAUCUUCGAGAAAGGAAACCUUGCAUGACGACCUUCAGCCGAUGAUGGGGAGCGACGGGAAGCAGGGGUGACGGCCGGGACGGGUAGGGAUUUGUGGGUGCCUUCAUACCGUUAAGGAAGCGCCCCGGAACAAUUGAGCCCGUGCUGAAGCCGUACGAAUUACAUAUCUUUAAUUUAUCUUCCAUCCAAUAUCGUCUUCACCAUCGGACGGGCCUUCGUGUCCGUAUUUCAUGCUGGAUAAAAGCUGCUUAUGGUAAUGGGGGGGCCGUUACGUUGCGAAGGUUGCGUGGCUGGGACGGGCUGGCACGGGUGGAUCACGUAGGACCCAUGUGCGAUUUGCCUUUCAGCGCUGAAGGACGAAAAACGAGGCGCACGUCACCGGGGCUUUGCCUGCGAGGGAAAUCGUUUAUCUUCUUUUAUUUGAUUACUUUUCCUUCGCCCAAAUGCCCUACAGAAGGGCUGGAGAGGAAGGUUUGAACGAUUUGAAGUAACGCUGCUUUAAGAAAAAAGGAGUUGGAAGGCUCGAAUGUUUCGUUUGGGUUU